GACGAACGCUGGCGGCGUGCUUAACACAUGCAAGUCGAGCGGUAAGGCCCUUUCGGGGGUACACGAGCGGCGAACGGGUGAGUAACACGUGGGUGACCUGCCCUCAGCUCUGGGAUAAGCCUGGGAAACUGGGUCUAAUACCGGAUAUGACCCCAUGACGCAUGUCGUGGGGUGGAAAGCCUUGUGCGGCUGAGGAUGGGCCCGCGGCCUAUCAGCUUGUUGGUGGGGUGAUGGCCUACCAAGGCGACGACGGGUAGCCGGCCUGAGAGGGCGACCGGCCACACUGGGACUGAGACACGGGCCCAGACUCCUACGGGAGGCAGCAGUGGGGAAUCUUGCGCAAUGGGCGAAAGCCUGACGCAGCGACGCCGCGUGAGGGAUGACGGCCUGGUGU
rnacentral:rRNA from 1 species